rnacentral:rRNA from 1 species
GACGAACGCUGGCGGCGUGCUUAACACAUGCAAGUCGAACGGAAAGGCCCUGCUUUUGUGGGGUGCUCGAGUGGCGAACGGGUGAGUAACACGUGAGUAGCCUGCCCUUGACUUUGGGAUAACUUCAGGAAACUGGGGCUAAUACCGGAUAGGAGCUCCUGCUGCAUGGUGGGGGUUGGAAAGUUUCGGCGGUUGGGGAUGGACUCGCGGCUUAUCAGCUUGUUGGUGGGGUAGUGGCUUACCGAGGCUUUGACGGGUAGCCGGCCUGAGAGGGUGACCGGCCACAUUGGGACUGAGAUACGGCCCAGACGCCUACGGGAGGCAGCAGUGGGGAAUAUUGCACAAUGGGCGGAAGCCUGAUGCAGCAACGCCGCGUGCGGGAUGACGGCCUUCGGGUUGUAAACCGCUUUCGCCUGUGACGAAGCGGGAGUGACGGUAAUGGGUAAAGAAGCACCGGCUAACUACGUG